rnacentral:tRNA from 1 species
ACCUGGGUGGCUCAGUUGGUUGGGCAUCUGACUUCAACUCAGAUUGUGAUCUCAGGGUUCGUAGGUUCGAGCCCCGCAUCGGGCU